CACCUCAGAUCAUCAGGGAUUAGAUCCCAGAGGUUGGGAACCCCUGUCCUAGAGAACCUGUCUGCAAAGCCUAAAAUAUUUGCCAGCUGGCCCUUUACAGAGAAAGUUUGUGGAUACCUGCUUGGAUGCACAGUGCUUGGUUUGGAGCGUGGCGACAGACGGGCUGAGCUGAGAACUGGAGCUGUCGGAAGGACGGGCACACUCUCCCAGUUCAACAAUCUGCCUGCAGGAAUCUGAAAGAGACUCAGGAUAUCUUAACUCUUCGAGGAAGCGGUGGGUUUUCGGAACAUCACGGAAAUUCUCUCGUGCAGGUUAUCCCCUGGAGGGCUUCCCCAGAGCACGAGCUUUCUAAUAUCAUGGUACAGGGUGGGUGUGCAUGUACCCCGACUCCUUGGCACACCAUCUUGGCCUGCCAUACCCUGGCACCUGGUGAAGGAAGGCAGGCUGCUUUAAUCUCUCUGGGAGCCAGGUCAUGCUCGACAAGUCACGCCACCUCUCUGACCUGUUUUUUCUCAUUUGUCAGGACCUAGAGAUUGAAUUAGUCUAUCACUCUGUCCCCAGUGGAAUCGGGAACAAUGCUCUGUGAAUCCUUUGACAAUCCCCUCAAUUAGAGGGCAUUUCCUCCCUUUGCCCAAAGGAAAUCACUCCAGAAUUUUCAAACUGGAAGAGAGUUAAGUGAUUAUCUCUCUCUUUUCAGGGCUUCUUAACUUGGAGUCCCUGUGGGGGUCACAGGUGAGGUAUCUGAAAUUGGACACAGAAUUUCUCGAGGUCAGCUGAGCGGACCCAGCAGGAGGUGGAGCCUGCCGUGACUGCAGGCUCAGAGGAUGCUGUACCCUCCAGGGAGUGACGGGAGGAGGAAUGUUUUCAGGGGGUGAUUCCUAGCGGAGUCUAGAAUCGUCCAAGUUUAAGAGUUCUCCCGGCCCAUUCCAUCCACUUUCUAGGUGGGAUAACUGAGGCCCAAAGUUGUUGGCGG
rnacentral:lncRNA from 1 species